rnacentral:rRNA from 1 species
ACUCAAAGGAAUUGACGGGGACCCGCACAAGCGGUGGAGUAUGUGGUUUAAUUCGACGCAACACGAAAAACCUUACCUGGGCUCGAACGACUGGAAGUAAUCCCCUUGAAAGAGGGGACGACCUGUAAAGUCAGGAACCAGCCGAGGUGCUGCAUGGUUGUCGUCAGCUCGUGUCGUGAGAUGUUGGGUUAAGUCCCGCAACGAGCGCAACCCCUAUUCUCUGUUGCCACCCCGAAAGGGAGCACUCUGAGGAAACUGCCCACGAUGAGUGGGAGGAAGGUAGGGACGACGUCAAAUCACCAUGGCCCUUAUGUCCAGGGCUACACACGUACUACAAUGGCCAUCACAACGGGAUGCAAUGCCGCAAGGCGGAGCCAAUCCUUCAAAAAUGGCCUCAGUUCAGAUUGUGGGCUGCAACUCGCCCACAUGAAGGCGGAAUCGCUAGUAAUCGCGAAUCAGAAGGUCGCGGUGAAUACGUUCCCGGGUCUUGCACACACCGCCCGU